GCAGCAGCCGCGGUAAAACGGAGGGCGCGAGCGUUACCCGGAUUUACUGGGCGUAAAGGGCGUGUAGGCGGCCUGGGGCGUCCCAUGUGAAAGGCCACGGCUCAACCGUGGAGGAGCGUGGGAUACGCUCAGGCUAGAGGGUGGGAGAGGGUGGUGGAAUUCCCGGAGUAGCGGUGAAAUGCGCAGAUACCGGGAGGAACGCCGAUGGCGAAGGCAGCCACCUGGUCCACUUCUGACGCUGAGGCGCGAAAGCGUGGGGAGCAAACCGGAUUAGAUACCCCGGUAGUCCCUGUCUCUUAUAC
rnacentral:rRNA from 1 species